rnacentral:lncRNA from 1 species
UCUAGAACAAAUGUUUUGGAAGUUCACAUGUAAUAGAAUUGUCACUAUAUACAAACAUAGAUAUUGUUAUUACUGAAUGAAAUGAUUGAAACAUCAAAUGGAAUAUACAAUAGUUCUCAUGGUCCAAUAUGAACCAAAUGUCCUUAAAAACUCCCCAAAAAUAACAAGCUGCAAUUCUGCGCUGGUCAACUAAAUGAAUACAAGGGAAACUGAGAUAUGAGCAGAAAAACAAGAGGCUUUAAGAUUUCAUUUAUCUGACCUCUGCAUGACCUCUGCAUGACCUCUGCAUUAUAAGCAAUAUGAACAAGAGGUGUAACUGAAUGGAUGUAGGUUAGUGGACUCUUUCGAUCACCAUGAACUAAAGAAUAAGAUGACUUCUUAAAACUCAAUUCGGAAAGCCUGAUUCUUAAGUUUGAAAUAAAAUUGAAUACAAAUUAUCUCCCUUGUUAUGAAUUUUACUUGUUUGGUGCAGUAUAGGGCAUUGGUGAGAAGUAGAUAGAAAUUAAUGGGUUAAGAACUUAAGCUGAAUUAUCAAGUUUGAUUAUCAGUAUACCAAAUAAUAACUGCAAAAUAAUUUCUUCGUAAAAAAUGUAAAACAAAAAGUUGAACACCUGGGUUGAGUUCAAUAUCGUAGCAGCUACGUAGCUGCUAUCAAUAUCUAUGUAACAACUAGUCUAUAGCUACACGUUCAAUUGUCAAAAUCUACGUAGCACUAUGUAGCCGCUACGAUAUUGAACGCAACUGAGGUAAAGCCGGACACCUAGCAUUGCCCAAUUUGUUGUACAUACAGCAAUAUUUACA